ensembl:lncRNA novel transcript
GAGUGCAAUGGUGUGAUCUCAGCUCACCGCAACCUCCGCCUCCCGGAUUCAAGAGAUUCUCCUGCCUCAGCCUCCUGAGUAGCUGGGAUUACAGGCGUGCACCACCAUGCCCGACUAAUUUUGUAUUUUUAGUAGAGACGGGGUUUCUCCAUGUUGGUUUUCACACGCGUCCGUGUGAAGAGACCACCAAACAGGCUUUGUAUGUUUGGCACGGCAUCUCAACUUGAUGUCUAUUUCUUCUUGUUCUCCUUCACCUCACAUGAACCUUCCAAGUCAUAAUUCUUUGGAAAUAGACACAAGGAGCUUUAUUUCAAAUUACCAUCCUUUACUUAAGAGGUUCCAUCUCUAAGCAUAUCAGCAAUCAUGGUGACGUGCCACUCUGCUGGUAAUUCAUAUGGCUUAUUCAGAAGCACAGAUCAUGGCUGUUAGACCUGCCAGAUGUUCCCGGUCCCUAGCUGCAAUUAAGUUCCAACAUAGCCCAAUUUGAAAGAGAUUGAGAAACCACAGUUCUCAUUAAGAAUAUUCAUGAGUUUGCACCUUGAAAAGCCAGCAAUCACAUGAUAUGCCAGAACGGACAAGAUCGUUUGAGAAGAGGAAAAAAAAAAA